rnacentral:rRNA from 1 species
ACGGGUGAGUAAUACAUCGGAACGUGCCCUGUCGUGGGGGAUAACUAGUCGAAAGAUUAGCUAAUACCGCAUACGACCUGAGGGUGAAAGCGGGGGACCGUAAGGCCUCGCGCGAUAGGAGCGGCCGAUGUCUGAUUAGCUAGUUGGUGGGGUAAAGGCCCACCAAGGCGACGAUCAGUAGCUGGUCUGAGAGGACGAUCAGCCACACUGGGACUGAGACACGGCCCAGACUCCUACGGGAGGCAGCAGUGGGGAAUUUUGGACAAUGGGGGCAACCCUGAUCCAGCAAUGCCGCGUGUGUGAAGAAGGCCUUCGGGUUGUAAAGCACUUUUGUCCGGAAAGAAAUCCCCUGCUCUAAUACAGCGGGGGGAUGACGGUACCGGAAGAAUAAGCACCGGCUAACUACGUGCCAGCAGCCGCGGUAAUACGUAGGGUGCGAGCGUUAAUCGGAAUUACUGGGCGUAAAGCGUGCGCAGGCGGUUUUGUAAGACAGGCGUGAAAUCCCCGAGCUCAACUUGGGAAUGGCGCUUGUGACUGCAAGGCUAGAGUAUGUCAGAGGGGGGGUAGAAUUCCACGU